GGUGCUAAGUCGAUAGAGAUCGAUUUAAAAGUGGCAAAACAGUACUUUUACUGUUCUUAAAAACAGUAAAAGCGUCCACUUAGUAUAUAGUAAUAAUGUGAAUAAAAAUAUAAAGCUUUGAUAAAAGCCAAUGACGUCAAUUUCUCUUAUAGAGAAAACAAAAAACCAGAACAUUUAGAGUUAAACAAAAACUAACAUAUGGUUUCACUCCUUGUAGUAGCGAUAGCAUUUGUAACUGCUCAAGUCAAAUUAGCUUAAACUUCUCUUGCAACCCUUAUCAACAUCUUUUAAUUUUCCCCCCUUCGGCC
rnacentral:misc_RNA from 1 species